AUGUCAUAGAGUUUCUUCACGGCCUGUUUGAUCUGGUGCUUGUUGGCCUUGACAUCCACAAUGAACACAAGCGUCUUGUCCUCUAUUUUCUUCAUGGCUGACUCAGUGGUCAGUGGGAAUUUGAUGAUAGCAUAGUGGUAAAUCGGAAGAG